GUCCACUUCAUCUUUAUAGAAAGUAUGAAAAAAAAGUUUAAUUGUGGAACUGAUUUUUUUCACGAUAAUAGGCCAAAAAUAGGUAAAAAUCGAUGAAAAAUGGGAAAAUCACCAAAAUUGGGCAUUUUCAAAGGGCCGUAUCUAAAAGAGAAGUGCACCACCCUAUGAUUUUUUCUUCACCAAUUAUUUUGUUACAGUCUUAUAAACCCAAAAAUCAGGUUAAAAAAAAAAGUUUAAUUCUAGAAAUUUUUGGCUCCUGAGAGGUGUACAUCCUUAAACAUGAAGACUAAAUAUUGAUCAAUUAAUGAACCAUGAAAAUGAGGUCAAGGUAAGAAG
rnacentral:lncRNA from 1 species